UUUUGGCUAAAUAUCUGUUGCUCACUGGAGAGUGACACGUGGCAGAAAGUUCUUACAAGUUACAAUCUUCCGAAGAAACUAAACACUACUACCAACUUCCCUAGUUCCCUUUCCUUUCUAGAAUCUUCCUACCUCCUCCACCGCCUUAAGUAGCUUAUUUGCCAAACUAGAAACCCCAACGAAUUCACUAACUGAACUGAAUCCCACUAACAACCUUUAAAUAAAUCAAGAAACGGUUACAGAAGCAGGUAAAUUAAAUGGCGGGAAGCAUGAGAGUGAAGGAGGAAGAGGAGACUGUGGUUUUGUGUGGGAGCGGACCAGGUGGUUCAUCUUCUUCAUCAAGCGUGUCACCGCAACCCAUGGAAGGGUUGCACGAUGUGGGACCACCACCGUUUCUGACGAAGACCUUCGAAGUGGUGGAGGAUCCUUCCACCGACUCCAUUGUUUCUUGGAGCAGAGCUCGCAACAGCUUCGUUGUGUGGGACUCGCACAGAUUCUCCACCACGAUCUUGCCUCGUUACUUCAAGCACAACAACUUCUCCAGCUUCGUUCGCCAACUCAACACUUACGGGUUUAGGAAAGUGGAUCCUGAUCGAUGGGAAUUUGCGAACGAGGGGUUCUUGGCAGGGCAGAAGCACUUGUUGAGGACGAUAAAGAGGAGGAGGAAUGUGACGCAGUCGUCAACGAACACGAUCCAGCAUGGAGAAGGAGGAGGAGGAGGAAGUUGUGUUGAGUUAGGUGAGUUUGGUUUGGAAGGUGAGAUAGAGAGGCUGAGAAGGGAUAGGACGGUGUUAAUGGCGGAGAUCGUGAAGCUGAGGCAGCAACAGCACAACUCAAGGGAGCGGAUUUGUUCAAUGGAGUCAAGGUUGCAAGUCACAGAGAAGAAACAGACACAGAUGAUGACUUUCCUGGCCAAAGCACUCCACAACCAGUCUUUCAUUCAUAACCUUUCUCUUCAGAACAGAGAAUUACAGGGUUUUGAGAUGAGCAGGAAGAGGAGAAUAACUGCUACCGCAAGUGUGGAGAAUCUGCAAGAGGAUCCUGUUGCUGUUGAAGAGCAAGAGGAAUUGACGAGUAUUGGGUGUGAGAUAGAGACACUUUUGUCAAGUGCUUGCGAUAAUGAAUCAAGCAGUGAAAUGAAGGAGUCUACUGCUGCUGCUGCUGCUACCAGUGAGAAUAUAUGGGAAGAUUUGCUUAGUGAGGAUUUAGUUGGUGGGAAUCCGGAGGAUGAAGUUGUCAUUGGUGAUUACCCACACCAAAAUCUUGAAGAUUUGACUGCAACAAACACUGGUGAUUGGUCUGAAGACUUGCAGAAACUUGUGGAUCAUAUGGGUUUUCUUGCCUCUAAUCCAUAAAAAUAAGUGGUUGUAGAAUUAUUUGUAGUAGUAUUAUUUGUUGUCUCGGGUUGGCCUCUGCAUGCAACUAGUUUCCCAUUGCAAAAUUAACAUGUUGGUGGUGGUGCAAGGGGGGAAGGCUUGGUAGUUGUUGAAAGAGGCCAACACAUAAUAUUGUGCUCUUUGUUCUGUAUCCUUCUAUUAAUUCAAACUUGCUAAGUGUCUGUGAAUAUCUCAAAUAUUUCGUUCAUCUACCUAAUUGUUCUUAAUUUCAAUUUCAAUUUCCAUGUUUGCGACUGUAACUAGAUUGUGCUUUUUGCAGGCAACUUGAGAAGAAGAUAAUUUCAAGGGGAUUGUGAUGGAGAUUGGAAGACGAAAAUGAAAAGUAAUAUUGAAUCUGCUGGAUUAUUAUCCUCAAUUAUUCUUGAUUAUUGUACAGUUCAACAUUAGUUAACAUUUCUUUGCUAUGGCAUGGUGUCAUGUAAAUCCAAUCCUGUAAUAAAUAAGGCAUUAGUCAUUAGACGACCAAUUUCAAGCUUUUUCUUGGGGGCUUUUGACUACUGACUAUUGAGUCUUUUUUUAUUAUUAACAUUUUUUUUGG